UUUUUGUCUCCUCGACUCUUACUCCUGCGGACCUAGAUAUAGCCGACGCUGCUGUCCACACGUGGCCGCACUGUAGCAGCCAACUCCACGCGCAGGUGGCUGGCCGACUCCAUCUCCAUAGAUCCCCCAACUCCUCCAUCUCAGCUUUUCCAAGAACGCAGCAUACCACCAGUUCGCACAUGCGACAUAGAGGUGGAGAACGAUGAUGCAGCGUGCGGCGGCGCGCACGACCAGGAUUAUGGCGGCACAAACAUGCAGCAAGGCGGGCACAGACCACGACGAGGAGCAGGACCGCGUCGUCGACGCGACGACCACGCCAAACAACCAACCGUUAGGGGGAUAGCAAGUCCAGUCUCUUUGCGGCAUUUCAAAGUGCUCUUGAUGAUGAGGAUAAACUAUGGAUGUGUCCGAGCCUAUCAUAACUCGGAUUGUCAUGCGGCGAAGAAAGAAGAUGAUGCCUAGAAGAAUACCUCCAUUUGUAAUGAGAUUGUGAUGUCCUUAUGUCUUCUGGCUGUAAGAAACUAAGGUUGAGAUAUUAUGUUGGCUAUUCCUAUGUCAUUUUCUAAUAAACCAUGCCUGAGAAAUUAUGUUGCUAUUUUUAUAUAUGUCAUUCUGUAAGGAACUAAGGCUGGAAU